CCGUGUCCUUGGGGGCGUCUUCGGGCGCUCCCUUCGGCCCACCCUUGUCUAUCUAUACCUGUUGCUUCGGCGGGCUACGUGGCCACGCUCCCGCCGGAGACCCCCGAACCUCUGGUUAAACUAGCGGUCUGAGUGGGCUUGUAAAUCGUUA
rnacentral:misc_RNA from 1 species